rnacentral:lncRNA from 10 species
GCGGCCUCAGGACGUGGGCACGUUGUCGUCCAGAGAGCAAGAGCGUCGCUCCCCCUCGCCUUCUCGGCCGCCCUCCCGGUUUACCGCCCCCUGUGUCCAGAGAUCACAGAUGGAGAGACAUUUUGCCACACGAUGAAUCACACACCACAUCUCAUCCCCGAGCUUCAGCUGCAGGACAAUGCUGCCAGAGGCCUGGUCCUCAGAGCUCACGAUCUUAUCAAAUUUAAUGGGCACAUCUGAAGAAGGAAACUUGCUCAGCACCGUGAGCCCCACAGUGAAAGCACUUUUUGGCAAGACUAGAGUCUCACCGAUUUUCCCUUUCUCUCCUCGAUCUCCUUUCCAGCCUCUUAUUCCCCGGACUCCUGGCUCACCCUGGGGCCCCGUGGGUCCAGCUUCUCCCUUGGGACCAGGCUUUCCAAUAGGGCCCAUGGGGCCCGGUAAACCAGUUGGGCCCAAAGGCCCAAUGUUGCCCCUUGGCCCCUCAGGACCAGUGGGACCCACGUCACCCUUAUUCCCCUUCUGCCCCUGAGGCCCAGUCUCUCCUCGGAGGCCUUUCUCUCCCAUGGGCCCUGCAAGCCCCUUGGGGCCAUGUUUUCCUGGGGAUCCUCUUGAGCCUUGAUCACCUUUGAUGCCUUUUGCUUCAACUUUUCCAUCUGCUCCUAAAUAGAGAAAGAGCAAAUAAAGAGAUAGUUUGUGAAAGA